GUGUCAGCAGCCGCGGUAAUACAGAGACUGCAAGCGUUAUUCGGAUUCACUGGGCGUAAAGGGUGCGCAGGCGGCCAAGUGUGUGAGGCGUGAAAGCCCGAAGCUUAACUUCGGAAUUGCACCUCAAACUACGUGGCUAGAGCAUUGGAGAGGGUAGCGGAAUUCACGGUGUAGCAGUGAGAUGCGUAGAUAUCGUGAGGAACACCAGAGGCGAAGGCGGCUACCUGGACAAUUGCUGACGCUCAGGCACGAAAGCGUGGGGAGCAAAAGGGAUUAGAUACCCUGGUAGUCC
rnacentral:rRNA from 1 species